AACCAAAAUUUCAUUCCCCCCAAGGCUUAGUCAGUUUUCCCACGACUAUGUUUUCCUACCCUUCGUCAAUUUUCAUUCUCAAAACCUAACCACCGCGACAGCCGUCCAGCCACCAACAUCCUCUUCCUCCUUCUCCGCCUCCGACCGUCCCCCUCCUUCUUCUCCUCCUUGUCCGCCUCUGACCGUUCUCCAGUUUGAAGCCGAAGCCGGAGCUCCCAAUCAGCAAGGACGAGAUCCGAAGACACAGACCAUCCUUAUCACCCCCAAAACACAUAUUGCAGUCGCCGUCUCUUCUUUCUCUCUCCAUGGGCCUCUCCAUCUCAGCCCCUCUCUUCGACCAUCGAGGCGUCGACGGCCCUCGCUCUCCUCGUCAGUAACUCGCUUUUGAGCCCUACAAUGUCAGCAAAGUGGAUCUUCUUGCCCAAAGUUGCUCUUUAUGGCUCUUAAUUUGGGGGUGCUCGGCACUUGGUGUCUGGAAGCUUAACACAUUGGGGUUCCUUCUUACACAUGCAUCCAAUUGGGUUUCAUCCUUACCCCCUGCUCAGGUUAAGAGCAAGCUUAAAGGUCACUCUAAAAGGAUAACUGGCCUAGCAUUCUCUCAUGUAUUAAAUGUGCUAGUUUCAUCAGGAGCAGAUGCUCAGGUUUGUGUGUGGAAUUCUGAUGGAUGGGAAAAACAGAAGAGCAGAUUCUUGCAGCUUCCAGCUGGGAGAACACCAUCUUCAGUGUCAGAUACUCGCGUUCAGUUUCAUCAGGAUCAAGCACAUUUCUUGGUUGUGCAUGAGACUCAGCUGGCCAUAUUUGAAACAACAAAACUAGAAUGUGUAAAGCAGCAGGAUUUAAUACAUCAAGGGCAGAAGGGUAACUAAGGUAAUAGAAAUCCUAGAAUGACAGCAACACAGUACAGGUUUUGCCACGUUCAGCCAAAACCAAGAUUGCAGUUAUAACUUUCCCGCUCUCACCAAAACCGCUUAUUCCUAAGCAAAAGACAGCCUUUUCUUUGCCACGAGUCGCAAUAAGGUUUUGCUAUGACACUUCCACUCAUAUACAAUCAGGUACAUAUGUUCUUCUAAUUUAUCACUUUUGCUCGAUUUUCAUUGAACGAUUGAUUGUUUUUCUCCUGGGCUCAGUUCGUUGAGACAAUAAGGGAAAGGGAUAGAAAGGCUAGCGCAAGCAUUGAAAGUCUCAAAUUUCUUUAGUUGUGAUCAGCAGAUCAUUAUCAUAUUUCAUCUGUUCCUCAAUUUUGCAUAUGUCAGUAUACAUUAUUUUUCCUUAUUUGUGUUUGAAGACUACACUGUGAUUCAUCUGCAUGUCUACUCAUCACCUUAUUAAUUGCUGAUCUCUUCUUAAUUUUGCCUCUAGAUUUUUUUCUUCUUUUGGUCAAAGCUGUAGAUUUUUGAGAAUUGUUGAUGAGUACUUGGUGGUUCUUCUUCUUCCAAGGCUUUUCUGAACCCAAGUGUUGAGAAAAACAAGAAGGGGCAAGAGACCUAGAAAGGGAGGCAACCGAUUCUGGAAGAGUAUUGGGCUGCGCACCAAGCCCCACAGGGAUGCCUCUUGGGAAAAUCUAAUUAGCAGUCUUGAUGGGAAAAUCUGCAGUUCACUUUUUCAACUACAAACUGAAAGAAGCUUCUUGGGAAAGAGGAAGAAAUUGAGAAAGCCUCCGAAGGGGUAUGAAUUCGUUGGGUUAUUGCCAUGGAGAAAAUUUGUAAAACAGAGGAGUACAGAACAAUGGCUGGUAUGAUGAGUUUGUAUAUUUAUAAGGCUCUCAUUUGUACAUUAUAUAUUGGAGUUACUUUUCUGAUUUGAAGUAGUUGACUGUAAUAGAAGCUUACUUUCUGGCAAAACUUUUGAAACUACCUCAAGCUCUAAUUUUGGAUAGAAAUUAAUACAAUUCCCUAAUAUUUAAAGUACAUUUGAAUUUCAUGUUA